rnacentral:lncRNA from 1 species
GCCCACCCCGGCGCACACGUCGGAAUCGUAUAUCUACCUCAGCAUUUUUCAAAACAGCUGGGCAAACUCAUUGAUGGUAUCAUGACUAUCAUUAAGGGAGAAAAAGAGUAAGAAGGGAAAAGAAAAGAAAGAGCAGAGCAUGGAAAAUAUCACAGUGCAUUUCACAUGGUAAAGGAAGUCAGAUAUUGCUGUCCUUGGGGUGCUACACACAUAUUACUUACUUACCUGGAUGGAUUCUUUUAACUUUUGAUUUUUGAACACCUGUGUAAAGGUAAGUGUUCAAGGAUUCUUCAUAUUUCUUCCUGAUCCUGCCCAGAUCAUCAUGAGCAGAUGCUCAUAAAUAGAGAAUCUUCAUUUGUUGAAGAUAAGAGCACAGAAUGGACUAGCAGGAAACAGGAACUCAGCUGAUGGAGAAGUAGGAGACCUACCAUUUAUUUUGGUCUGCAGGAUGAACUCUGGUUUGAGGCUGGUGGAGCAGGUAACUAAAGGUGGCA